AACUCUCUUCCUCACUAACUUCUUGACAAAUGGCCUUUGCUCGAAACGUCGAAGAAUUUAUUUUCCUAUUUUUCAGGCAUUUGGAUCACCUUCCCUCUCGUCUAUGUUAGAAAAGAGCCUCUAGUUCAUGUACAGUAAAAUAGUCGAUGAUAAUUUUUUAUCUUACAGCAAUUAUGUCACCUGGUUUGAGGUUUCUCUUUAUGUCAACCAAUGAAAAUCUAGUGGUUUUAAGGGGGCACAGUUUAUCAGUGGUAGGAUUAUUGGUGACUAAUAUAUUUUGUUACUGUGUGUCAUCAGAGCAUAACCUGGUUUGCACUUUGCACUGCUGAGUUACCGCACUAAUCUGCACAUAUUUGCUAGAAAAAAAUUAUUUUAUAUUUGUUAUCAAU